UCUUGCUUCACUGAUCCACCCAGAGCCUCCGUGUUUCCUGCUUCCUGCAGGUGUUAGGGGGAGCCCUACCUUCCACCCAGGAUGCCCAGAUCGGGAGGAUCCAGGUCAGGAAGGUCUGGAGGACAUUUGGACACAGACACAGGCCAUGUGAGCAUGAAGGCAGAGACUGGGAGAUGCAUCUAGAAGCCAAGGAACGUGGAAGAUGGCCAGCAAACUGCCAGACACAGAGGGAGAGGCCUGGAGCAGUCUCCCUUAUAGCCCCAGGAGGAACCAACCCUGUUUGCACGUUGCUGUUGGACUUCUGGCCUCCAGAACUGGGAGACAACACGUUUUGGUGGCUUAAGCCACCAACGAUAUUCAUGCAGCCCCUGUGGAGGUCAAGGGAUUUGUUCCAGAGCUCUGGGCAAGUCACUUUGCUUUUUGAGGCUUCCUAGCCUGUAAAGUGGGGAGUGGCAGCUGUCUGCAGCUGUCAAGAUCAAAUGAGAGCUAAGCCCCAGGGACACAUGGCAAGGAAGACAGAUGGGAGUGGUGGCAGUCGGGAGCCUCGGCGAGAUUCUAUCUGGUGCUGGGCUGGAGCCGGGGAAUGGGACCUUCUUCUGACAGCUCUCUGGCUGCUUCCGAUGGAAAAGAAGCUGAUCUGUGCGAUGCGGGCUUGAACCCACAUUGACCAGAGACUUUGCAGCCAGCUCACCCCUCCAAAUCCCCGCCCUGGAGUCCCUGACCCAGGAAUUUCUGCAUCAGGCUGCUCAAACCUGAAUUUGACAAAAUUUCAAAGCGCUGUAUCUUUAUGUUGAUAAGACAACGGAUAAAGUGCCAUACUUGGAACCUAGAUCACUCAAUGUUGCCUGUAGCUGAGUCCACUUCUGUCACUCACCCUGCAUUGCCCUGCCAGGAGCAAGGGAGAGAAAGCCAGCCAGAAGGCAUGGGCAUGGGCUCAAAUCUGGCUUCUCCUGUGGCCACUGUGAAAGUUGAUCAUACAAAGGUCACUGUUGUCAUAGCCAAGCAGAGUUAUGAGACCACAGGAAAAAGCACUUGGACCACGUAACAUUGCUCCAAGAGUAUAACUGUCUCCAACCCUGGCUGCUGGAACAAGUGUUGCAACCUGAAACCGGUUUGAUCUAAUAGCUACAGAAACAACCUGCGGAAAUCUAAGACUAGUUUCACCCACUCACCAAUCAGAGCUUGCCGGAUCCCCAAAACGUUGCUAGUGCUAAUGAACUUGCUUUCCUAACAAUCCAUAACAUUUCUCAUUUUUAUGAAACCUACAACCUUCUCUUUGCUCUUUGGACAUACUGAAGACCACCCAGUCUGUGUGUAUGCCCCAAACUGAAAUUCUUGCUCCCCAAAUAAAACAUUUUAAACUUAGAGAUUUGUCUGUAUAUUUUAUUUGACUUUGACAGCACCAGGGGCUCCGGCACAAAUCUCCUCCUUCAAGCCCUUUUCUACACAGUCCCGUGGGUCUACCCUGAAAGAAGCCUGAUGACGGCUCAAAGACACAAUGUUACUGGGAGGUAAAUUCAGGAUUACUUGACCGAAUGGCCCACCCGAGGUCACGGAGGCUGCUGGAGGAACAGAAAAUGGUCUUCACCAAGUGAAGCAUUGUCGGUCUUGGCCUGUGUCUGGCUGGAGAAUGUUAAAAUUCUGGGGACACAACAGAAAAGGCACAGUUGUGGGGACCAGGCCAAUGUCAGCGUGAGAACUGGCUCCAUCCCCCUCCCAUGAACCAGCUCUGCGGCCAAGGCAGGUCUGCAUUUCCUGGUCUGUGACACGGAGUCAGUAACAUUGCCUACUUCCCGGGGCUAUUUCCAGAGAAGUGAGGGAAUGGGUGUGGAACGCCUGCCAUCUGCGGAGCCCCGCAUGAAACGUCUCUGUCUUUCCAGCCAGCCCUGAGCCAGGGAAGGGACUGGAAGCACAGCGGGUGGCUGAGGCGGGCUUUCGGCAGCUUACCCCCAGCCUUGCCCCUCCCCGCCUGCUGAAACACAAUCUAUGGUUGUCGCCUUCCUGGAGAUGUUAGCCGCCCCCUCCAGAGGUGGUUCCAAAUCUAUUUCUCAUUUGGCUGAUUUAGGAGAGGCUGCGAAUCGGUCGCUAUGGUUUCUUUAUUUUCUCCUGACAGCUUAGGAAUCAUUUUUCCAAUUAUUCCCAGGGGAGGAAAAAGAAGUGGAGGAAGCCAGUGUUUGGAAUGAGGGGAAGCUCACGGAUCUGAAAUGCAACCUCUUCUGCAGGAGACCCGGCACAGCUACCGGGACCCAUCACCUCCCUGUAGGAACCCCGCCCAGCCCCCUCCAGCCAGCCCUGCGUGGUUGUGGCCCCACUGCAGAAACGCCUCCGCUUAACACUCCAGCCUCUCUUCUAUUCGGUCAGGCCACAGCUGCUGACUUUGUGCCUGCUGUAGCAACCCCGAGCCCCCAAAUAAACCCUCCCUCCCAGGGUGGCCUCUCUACGGGGGGAGACAGACGGUGACCAAAAGCUAUCAGUUAAAUGCACAAACAGGACUUAGAGGGUGGAAAGUGACAAGAAGAGAAAUAUGGCAGGAAAAAGGGGUGGGGGUGAAAUUUUACACAGAGCCAUGGGGAAGGCUGCUGAGGAGGACCUGCAGGAGUGGGGGGCUCCCAGACAGGAACUGUGGCCCACUGCACGGAUAUGGGCAAGUUUGGAAGGGAAUGAGCCACUCCAAGCCUCAGCCUUGGCCAGCCAUUCUCAGGUCCAGGCAGGAAAGAUGCCAGCAGUCCCACAUCAGCUGAGGUGUUCAAACACAGUGGUGUCCCCUAAGCAGGGAGACUGCAGAGGGGAUUCAAGCCCUGGGCAGGGGGCUAAAGUAGGCCAAUCCUGGUUCUGCAACUGUCCCUGGCCCAGCAGCUUGUUGGCUGUGUAGCGUCUCAGGCACUCCCUAAAGGUCAAGGAGUCUUGGCCGAGACUUCGGCUCACCCCAGCCCAGCUUCUGCUCCUGGCCGGGAAUGGUGUUUCCUAACCACACGUCCAUGGAGCAGGAAGGUACGCCUCCACCCGCUCCCAUUCCUUCUCCACAGCUUGCCACAGGGCAGUGCUGGGUUUAGUUCCUCUCCUUAUUUAGAGCUGGGGCGUAUCAGGUGUGCAGCUGGACAGGUACCAGCCAAGGCAGAGAAUGCAAGUCAGCCACGGGUGGCAUGUCGGGAAGCACCAGAAGGUGCCAACUUUGGCAUCCAGGGCCUUCCUGGACCUGCUGAAAUUUGGUCUAAAUGUGCUCUUGUACCCGUGUGGAAGGGCUCAGUGCAGCCUGGGUCUGGGAUUUCAGGGAGCAGAGUAUGAUUCUGGAUGGGUGAUUUAGCCGCAAGUGAGAGUUUUUACUGAGCCCAGCAAUGGGCAGAGCAUGGUUCUGGGGGUGGCUGGCUUGGGGGCGACACAGACAGGUAAACCAGUUGUCCGUGUGAGUGGAGGGGGCAGAAGUUGAUAAGAGCAGGGAGUGACGGGCAGGGGGGUCUGGGAGCUCAUUUCUCAUAAUUAGGUGUUUUCAUGGUAGCUUUGUGCUGCCGCCGACAGAACCCCUUGUUGGGAUGAACUUGUAGUGGGAUGAUAUUUUAAUCUCCCAUAUUCUGUUAGUUUGCCAGAGCUGCCCUAACAAAGUACCACAAACUAGGUGGCUUGAAACAAUAGAAAUUCACUGCCUUGCAGUUCUGCAAGCCAAAAGUCUCUGAUCAAGGUGUGAGCAGGGAUGGUUCCUGCUGGGGCUGUGACGGAGACUCUAUUCCAGGCCUCCCCAGCUCUGGGUGGUUUUCUGGCCACCUUUGGCAUUCCUGGGCUUCUAGACACGUCACCUCAAUCUCUGCCUUCGUGUCCACGUGGCGGUCUCCCUGUGUGUGUGUCUGUGUCAAAAUUUCCCCUUUUUAUAAGGAUACAUUCAUAUUGGAUCAGGGCCCACCCUACUCCAGUAUGACAUCAUCUUAACUUAUCACAUCGGCAAUGACCUAGUUCCAAAUAAGGGUCCUUCGGAGGCACCGGGGGUUAGGACUUUGUAUUCGUUUGCGGGACUGCUAUAACAAAGUACUGCAGACCCAGGGGCUUAAACAAUAGAAAUGCAUUUCUGCCAGUUCUGGAAGCUGGAAGUCCACGACCAAGGGGUCCGCAGGGCUGGUUUCUUCCGAGGCUUCUCUCCUUGGCUUGCAGAGGAACGUCUCCUCCCCGUGUCUUCACCUGGCCUUUCCUCCGGGCAUGGCUAUGUCCAUAUCUUCCCUUCUCGUAAGGACUCCAGGCAGAUGGGAUUACAGCCCACCCACAUGACCUCAUUUUAACUUAAUUACACUACUUCUUUAAAGGCCCUUUCUCCAAAUGCAGUCACAUCCUGAGGUACAGGGGUUAGGGCUUCAACAUAUGGAUUUUGGAGAAACACAAUUCAGGUCAUAAGACUUCAACAUAUCUUUUUGGGGGAAACAGUUCAACUCAUAACACACACUGUGAAGCAGUUUUAUCUCUUGCUGCAAACAUUUCCUCAGCUCCCAUUCUGUGCUGGGCCCCGUGCUAGAAGCCGGGGGAGCCGUAGCAUCACCCUUCCAGGAGCCCCGUCUGCAAUGGGUGACAGACCAGUCGUGACUGUAGCUCGUGUGACAGCUGCCAAACUAGAGGCUCAAGGGUGAGGGGCUGGGAGAGCUGAGAGGAGCCACACUCGCUCUGUGGGGAAGUGAGGCAGGAAAAGGUAACUGGACAAGGCUGACUGGGAGGUGGCCAGACCAGCAGGAGGGUGGGGGUGUUUCAGGCAGGGGGGCCACACUUGCAGACGCUCAGAAGCACCAGGGAGCCUGGCACAUUCCGGAAACUGCAGCUGCUUCCUCCGAACCUUCUGGGCAUCUGCGAGGCCCUCCUGACCUGGAUCCCUAGCACCCCGACCCAGUUCUGUGAAGCGUGUCUCUGGGCGCUCCUGAAGGCAGGACUGAGAGCUCCUGUCCCUCCCCUUGCUCCGUUUCCAUGUUCUGGGAGGAAAGAAUGAAUGGAAGUUGCGAGAAACUGGGCUCACAUGUUCAGCAGUCGGCAUUGACUGAACAGUCCUGUGCCAGGUGCCUCACUUGCCUUGCAUUUUUUUUUUCAGUGUAAAUCCACCCUUUAUUGCCUCCAAAAAGAUAUUUUCUACAGCUUUACCCAGGUAUAACUGACAUUUAAUGAAGCAGUACAAUUUGAUGAGUUUGACAUGUCUACACCUGUGAAACCGCCCCCUGAAGCCAUGUGCCCCUCUGUCGCCCGUCCCUCCUGCCCCUGCCCACCCUCUCUCUCCAGACAGACUCUGAUCUGCCUCUGUCACUGUGAUGAGUGUGCAUUUUCUAGAAACAUCUGAAUGGAAUCAUUCUUCACACACUCUUCUCCCAUCUAGUAUAAGGAGGUGACGUGGAACUUUCUGAGAAAUGGUCAAACUGUUUUCCAAGGGGGCUAUGCUGUUUUCCGUUCCCGCCAGAGAGGAGUGGGGAGGUCAGGGGGGCAGCUGCCGUUCCGGCCAGCACUGAUUGUCUGUCACUGUCGCCGUGGGCGUGUGGUGGCAUCUCACUGUGGCUUUCAUUUGCAUUUCCUGGUGGCGAAUGACUCCGAGGUUUGGUUCUCACGGCCUGCCCGUGAGGUAGGAGGUGUUGGCCCAGUUUCCCAGGGAGGAGGCUCAGGAGCAGAGCCAUGGGGUAACCUGCCCGAGGCCACCCCGCCCCGAAUGGGAGAACCGAAGCUGUCCCUGUUGCUCACCUUCUUCUUUCCUGAGCUGGUAGAUCUCUUGUGACCCCAUUAACUCUGAGCCCCACCGGGUGUCCGGUCAGGGCAAGGGACAAGCUGAGGGAGGAAGAAGGAGCCGCCAGCUUCCCCGCCCCAGGCUCUCUGUCUUCAAAAGCAGCAAACACGCCCGGCCCUCAGCAUGGAGCCUGGCCAGGGGCCCCUUCUUUUCUAUCAGCCUCAAGUCACUAGACGCCCAUAGCGCGCUCCUCUUCUCUUCUAUCAGCAGGAGCAGAGUCCCCCAGCGAAGUCUCCCCGCUCCCCACAGAGCCCCUCCAGCCCGGCUCCCUCAUCCCUGGAGAGGAUCCCAAUCUCCUCAGAACUCACCCUCCCACGGCUGCCUCUGCUGUGGGGACUCCCGAGGCUGUGGACAAGUGGCUGGAGGCACCCCCCGUCGGAGGGGCGGGUGGCAGGAGCGCCUCUGGGGCGGGGCAGCCACCUGGGGAAGAAAAGGGGGGGCCACGGGGCCCUUGGGUGCCCGGCCCGCCCCAUACACAAGGCCAGCUUCCCUCUUAGCACACAGGGCUGUGUCCCUGACACAGAUUAACCAGACCCCAGAGCGGGGGAGUUGAUGGCUCUGAGAUAAGCUUGUGCCCCCCACCCCAAGUCAUGGUGUCAAAUCUAACUUAAGGGGUUUCUCAGCCAAAAUGCCGUUUGCCACCAGGACUGUCCCAACAAAGGACUUUCCCUCUCCCCUUGGCUACUCUUUCUCUUGGUCUUGGUCCUUAUCGCGAUCCUCAGCAGCACAGGCAGGCUGUGUGUGUGUGUGUGUGUGUGUGUGUCUGCACUUGCACACGUGGUGUGCCAGCAGCUGCGGAGUCAUUUGGGCCUGAGUUCUACGACUGAAUCCUGUUCCCCUGCGAGGCUUUGUCCCGUUAAUGAACUCUCUGUGAUUCAUUUCACUUCUCUGCAUAAUGGGCAUGACACAGCCUGGAAGUUGGGCGUGAUAAGUCAGUUAAAGGGGAAGUGUCAUGUCCAGAGCCUCUGCCUGAGCCUGCACCAAGCAGGCACCUCCACAGGUUUUCUCCCCACUUGUGCCCCUUACUUUUGCCCUGGCCUGCGUCCUGAGCCAAGGGACGGAAGGGAAGGUCUGUGGGUCGGUUCCAGGCGGGGGUAGAGCCCUGAGCUGAUGAGGGUUCUGAGCCUGGGGUCCACCCUGACAGUGGAGAACCUGCAAUGCUGGGCCAGGAGCCUGAACUUCAGGCUGCCAAAAGUAGAGUAACUCAGCAGGGGCGAGUUCCCAGGGCCCGUGUCCCCUUCCUUCUCCUCACCUCCAAUAGCAAAGGGAGGGGUCAGCGGCUGCCCGCCUGUGAUAAAUCCGAGAAGGAGCCCGGCCAGCCCAGAUGUAGAAAACGGCCGACUUGCUCUCGG
rnacentral:lncRNA from 1 species